ensembl:lncRNA
UGCAGGUGUCUGUGUACAUCCUGAGGAGCACUGAUGCAGCUGCAGCAUGUAAAUGUCUAAGAGAUCCAAGACUGGCAAAGUCCUUAUGCCGCUGGGCGGACAAGCUAUGUCCAGUGACUCAACAAUAGAGGGGUGGACCUUCUGCUCCUGAACUAACUUCAGGAACAGAGGAGAGCUGAGCCCUUUCAAAUAGAGCAGAGGAAUAGACCAGGAACUAGGUUGCUAUGGCUUUUCACAGCCCUUAUGUUCUCUCUAGUCAUGGCUGCAGAAACCCUCAGAGGGCGUCAGCUUGCCUGUACACCGUGGGCGAGCAGAAAGUAUGCAGACACCUGCAGCCGGCUCAUGGGCGGAGCCUGCUAAUGAGCAUCUCCUGCUGACUGACUAGGAGGGAGGUGCUCACUCCAGGCCUCUGGCCAGGAGCCUUCUCUUUGAGGCUUGUCAGAGAGCCAGUGCCACGGGCUUCAGGUUCACCUCAAUGGAAACAGACACCGGAGCCACAACCCAGGCCACGCAUCUCUCGAAAAGGGUCAGGUCAGCUGGAAGGAAGCUUGUUACUUGGCACAGAACUUUCACACUUGAACUGUUCCUUCCUGCUUAGUUAUUUACCCCAGCCCAGCCCACCUUGACCUCCUGAAUGUGGACAUUGUCUGUUCUAAGUCAUCCAAAGCGAGGCCUCUGUUCUCUGAGGAGCCCUGUCCCCCACCCUCCAGGUCCUUAAGAAAUAUAACCCCUAAGAAAACAACACAGGUUUAAGAAACGUUAGGAGCCCUGAUUCCUGUAAAGGGGCCAGCCUAAUCCAGAAACUCCAUUCCUUACAUUAGCCUGGCUUCAGACCCAACCGUAUCCUUUACUUAGAACUCUUCAUCUCACACAAAAACCUCAGAUGAACCCUGGAGUCAUGUUUAUUCUGUAAAAGAGCUAAAGUUAAGAAACUUAGGGGGGAAUGUAUUGAAGUUGAAAGAAUGCAGGCCUAGCACAGGCAAGAAGCCCCACUGUAACCGCCAGCUCCACAUACAGCAGUGGGAGGUAGAAAUAAGAGAAUCCCAGCUUAUUCUUGGCUGACACUGAGUUCAAAUCCAGCCUAGGCUUCCUGAGAACUGUCUCAUAACCAAACACGGUGGAAUUCAACACUGAAAGCCUUCCUGGGCUGUCGGCUCUCACUCCCAGGGAAGGGAGGAGCCUGGCUGAGGUCCAGCCCACAUGCUCUGAGUGAUAGCUACCCUCUAGUCAUAAACUCACACUGCAGUGAUGUGCAGUAAGAGAUUCCUCCAUUUCUGCAGCCCACUAGCACUGUCCUCAUGGUGGCUCCUCCUGUUGUCACUCUGUGACCAGGAAGUCUACUGCCUCCUGAACACCUUCUGAGGCAACAGUAUAUUCAUUAAAAGUGUCCG